UUAGGAGGACACAAUGAGAGGGAAAGUUCCGUUAACAAGGACAACUACAAGGAGCUUGCAGGGGUAACUGCGCGUUAUGAUGCUUUACUUGCUGAAAGUAUUGGAACUUUCAAAUGUCUUUUCUCUGCUGUUGCUGGUUCCUGGGAUCCUGACUGAAAAGGAACAUGGAUCAAACCCCAUCAAUUUGACGGUAGUCAACAGCAUCGGCAAUGCAGCCAAUGAGACCUACAGUGCUGACAUUGUGUUCAGAGGGAUCCUACUCGGUGCCAUGAGGAGACUGCAGCAGACCAAUGCAGACUUCAAGUUUACCUACACAGAGGACCUCAACUAUGGUCCUUUCCUGGAGAGUGUGAAUGGUGUUGCCGGGAACAAUGCUGAGCACACUUAUUGGGAGCUCCUUGUUCAGACUGGGAAGAAUGGAUCUGUGAUCAGACCUGACGUGGGCGAGUCAUGAUUUAGAAUAUGUUUCUUUCUACAGAAUUAAGGGCAAAAGCAAGUGUUAUUUACAACAAUCUAUUUGUCACAUUAAUUGUGCACAUACUGUAAACACAAAGUGAGCACACUUACUGGGAGCUCCUUGUUCCGACUGGGAAGAAUGGACCUGUGAUCAGACCUGAUGUGGGUAUUGGCUGUUACAUCCCAGAACCAAAUGACCACAUCAUCCUGAAUUUUACAAAAUGGUAAACAGUCAGAAGAAGCGCCUGCCUGAUACUGGUUCAUGAUUUGGAAAAGUGCUGUUGUCAUAAAUUGCACAUGUGCCAUAACAAGGAAAAAGUAAGGUAGUAAUGACCAACCUUUAGACUGUUUAGAAUGAAAAAUCGAGUUUCACCAGGAUACUGUUAUAUACCCAAACUACUGUAAAAUAACAUUCCAUUUGUAAUUACUGUGUCAAAGGUUAAUAAAGUAAAAGUAGCUUUGGAGUAUCAUUUGUACGGGGAAACAAAAUGACUGCAACAGUAUACCUAUACGUGCGCACACGAUCAUUUCAGAAAUUACUGUACAUAUUCUUUACACUCACGUGUGGGCGUGUAUAUAUAUACAUUUUCACCCCAAAAAGUUGCUAUCUAGAACCUAAAAGGGUUUUUGUCUGUCCCCAUAGUAGAACCCUUUUUGGUUCCACGUAGAACCCUUUCUGCAGAGGGUUCUACAUGGAAAUGGAGCAUUGAUUAUUUGAUAAACCAAGUUUGUUUUACAAAAUGCACUUGGUGGUUUAAGGACUAGUAGUCCACUAAGGUUACAAGCUGACUUGCCUGUGACCUUGGCUGAUGGCUGGCAACAUUUCAAUAUUAUGUUUGACUGUUCAGUAAAGG